UGCUGGUUGAAGUUGUCGAUGAUGACGCCGAUGAAGAGGUUAAGCGUGAAGAAGGACCCGAAGAUGAUGAAGAUGACGAAGUAGAGAUGGAGCAACUGAGGACUGAAGAGGACUUGUGAUUUGGUCCACGACCCCGCCAGCAGGGCCCUGGAUGGGCUCACCUUGACAUCCUCAGGCUCUGAGAAGGUGUCGGUCUCCUCCUCGGUGGGCAUCUCCAGGUCCUUGUCCCCCUCCUCGGGUGGUGGCUCCUUCUUCUCAUCCUUGGGGGCACCUUCCCCGGCCUCGCCAGCCUCCUC